GACGAACGCUGGCGGCGUGCUUAACACAUGCAAGUCGAACGGAAAGGCCCUGCUUGCAGGGUGCUCGAGUGGCGAACGGGUGAGUAACUCGUGGGUGAUCUUCCCCUUAUUUUGGGAUAAGCCUGGGAAACUGGGUCUAGUACUGGAUAGGGCCAUGCUGUAGGCGGUGUGGUGGAAAGAUUAGGUUCGGUAAGGGAUGAGCUCGCGGCCUAUCAGCUUGUUGGUGGGGUAAUGGCCUACCAAGGCGUCGACGGGUAGCCGGCCUGAGAGGGUGGACGGCCACAUUGGGACUGAGAUACGGCCCAGACUCCUACGGGAGGCAGCAGAGGGGAAUAUUGCACAAUGGGCGCAAGCCUGAUGCAGCGACGCCGCGUGGGGGAUGACGGCCUUCGGGUUGUAAACUCCUUUCAGCCAUGACGAAGCCCUUGUGGUGACGGUAGUGGUAGAAGAAGCACCGGCUAACUACGUG
rnacentral:rRNA from 1 species